UCACCGCCGACGGCGUGCAAGGAAGCGUGGCCGCGGUUCUGGGCCCAGACUGCUACCUCCGUCUCGAGAUAUCGGCACCGCCGCUGAGAGAGAAGAUUCGUGAGCAUUACUCCGGCCGGUAAAUUCCAUGGCGAUUCCGUCUCUAACUUGUGACGCGCUGCGCUGCAGGGAGGAUCGUAAAGGAUCACAUCUUCCUGACUGUGUUAAUCUGUUUCAUCGUCGUCGUAGCUAUCGUCGCGCUGGUAGCUCAUGUCUGCCGCCUGGUGAUG
rnacentral:lncRNA from 1 species